GUACGAUCCAAUUUCCAGAUACUCGGUAAUAGCAUUCAAAACAUCUGUGUGUCUAUCAGAUUCUUGCCUGAUAUCAAGCCUUACAAGAGACAAGCCAAAAGUUGAUACUUGGCGCAAGAAGUCCAGAAGACUUCCAUCAGCUAUAGGCCUGUCCCCACAAGAGCAGAGAGAUCUGUAGCAAAGCUCGAGGGGUUCGAGGAACUGCUCAACAUUGGUAAAAGCCACUUCCUCAGGUAUGUCAGAAUAUCCACUUGUCAGAAAAUGACAAGCUCGCUCGCGUGUCUGAUAUAGCUUCUCUCUUACAUCAUCGAGGAUUACACGAUAAGGUUCAUUUAGUGGAACCCGUUUCCAAAAUUCGAUAUAGUGUUUAGCCUCUUUCCUGGAAGCCCGGUGGUGUAACUCAUCUGCUCGGAAUCGAAGUUCAUCGCUACAGCGCCACAUAGAUAGCUCAAACAUAAGUUCUUCUAUCUGGGAAAAGUACAAAUUUGCAGCCAUCAUUCUUGC
rnacentral:misc_RNA from 1 species